UACGAAGGGGCUAGCGUUGCUCGGAAUCACUGGGCGUAAAGGGCGCGUAGGCGGCCAUUCAAGUCGGGGGUGAAAGCCUGUGGCUCAACCACAGAAUUGCCUUCGAUACUGUUUGGCUUGAGUAUGGUAGAGGUCAGUGGAACUGCGAGUGUAGAGGUGAAAUUCGUAGAUAUUCGCAAGAACACCAGUGGCGAAGGCGGCUGACUGGACCAUUCUGACGCUGAGG
rnacentral:rRNA from 1 species